UCCCUGGUGGUCCAGUGGCUAAGACUGCACACUACUAAUGCAGAGGACCCAGGUUCAAUCCCUGGUCAGGGUA
rnacentral:tRNA from 1 species